AUGAUUAAUUUGCUAGAUGGUCCGAGCAGUGGAUCCGAGGCAACUUCCUCUGCCGUGAAGGAUCUCCAGUCGAAGCUAGAUGUGGUUACUGCAGAAUGCUUGACUGAAAAGGAGAAGAACAAGAAGCUGACCAUGGAGAACGAGAAGCUCCAGUACCGCAUGACCCAUCUGAUCCGUGCGAUAAAAGAGGCGUAAUCGAGAUAGGAGCAGCCCGGCGAGGCCGAUUCAAAGCCUGAUGUCGAAGUGUUCCCCACCCGCCUUGCUGAUCCUUCACGUUGUUCCUGCAUCAACCUCAAGCUAUCAUUGUGAUCUUGAGUUAGAGCUUGGUCACAAGUCAAGACUGUAUUAUCAAACUGUCGAUUGAAAAUGAUGAUGUGUGCACAACUUUCUGUCUUCACCUGACCCCAUCUCGAAGGGCACAUUGGAACACAAAAUGUUAUCUGAAAUGGCAGUUCAUAUUUUGAAA